UACAAAAGGGAAUGUGCCUGUGU
rnacentral:piRNA from 1 species